rnacentral:lncRNA from 1 species
ACUUCCAGGCAGGGCCUCGAGGAAGUAGGUGAGCUUCUCCAUCCCUGUCUGUCUAGAUGCAGAGAACCCAAAGCCCUGCAGGAUGGCAAAGCUGCAACAUGGAAGUCACCCGGAUCACCACGUAAAGGAAAUCUCUCCAACCAGGAACAAACACCUGCCUUGCAAUAUUAGGUGGCCACCAGACUUUCUCUGCUUGUAUCCUCCCAGGACCACAGAACUCAUCGCAUCCCAAGGCAGCCUAUUCCAUCAUGGAUGAGCUCAAAGUGUUUGAAAGUUCUGCUUUAUCAAGUGAGCCAAACUUCCUCCCUCAGGACCAUCCACUCCAGGGCCCAGUUAUUCUACUGGAGGAGUGAGGGUAAAGCCAUCACCAGGACAACCUUGGUGACAGGCUGGACUGGCAGCCAGCUUUUGGGGAUGACUUCAGGGAACCCUGAAUAGCCAUGGGAGCCAAAUGUAUUACUCCUCUGAUGCCUACAAUUCCACUAUAAUAGUCUGGUGGGCUUCUGUUAGGGAGGCUUAUACAUGGUGGAAAGAAUAAAGGCUUGGACUCAGCCUAGGUUCAAGUACUGCAUCUUGACCUGGCCUGUAGGCAAGUCUUUUCACUUCUCUGAGUUUUGGCUUUCUCAUUUGUCCAAUAGGAAUAACAAUAAUGAUAAUAAUAAUACCUCCCAUGCAGGAUUGCUAGUAUGUUCAAUGGGAUAAUAUAUCUAAACACCUCACACAAUGCCUGGCACAUAGCAGGUGUUCAAUUAGGUCUGUAUUAAAAUCCAGGCUCUGUCUCUUAUUA